GGGUUGUGAGGUUAAGCGACUAAGCGUACACGGUGGAUGCCCUGGCAGUCAGAGGCGAUGAAGGACGUGCUAAUCUGCGAUAAGCGUCGGUAAGGUGAUAUGAACCGUUAUAACCGGCGAUUUCCGAAUGGGGAAACCCAGUGUGAUUCGUCACACUAUCAUUAACUGAAUCCAUAGGUUAAUGAGGCGAACCGGGGGAACUGAAACAUCUAAGUACCCCGAGGAAAAGAAAUCAACCGAGAUUCCCCCAGUAGCGGCGAGCGAACGGGGAGCAGCCCAGAGCCUGAAUCAGUGUGUGUGUUAGUGGAAGCGUCUGGAAAGGCGCGCGAUACAGGGUGACAGCCCCGUACACAAAAACACAUGCUGUGAGCUCGAUGAGUAGGGCGGGACACGUGGUAUCCUGUCUGAAUAUGGGGACCAUCCUCCAAGGCUAAAUACCCUGACUGACCGAUAGUGAACCAGUACCGUGAGGGAAAGGCGAAAAGAACCCCGGCGAGGGGAGUGAAAAGAACCUGAAACCGUGUACGUACAAGCAGUGGGAGCACGCUUAGGCGUGUGACUGCGUACCUUUUGUAUAAUGGGUCAGCGACUUAUAUUCUGUAGCAAGGUUAACCGAAUAGGGGAGCCGAAGGGAAACCGAGUCUUAACUGGGCGUUAAGUUGCAGGGUAUAGACCCGAAACCCGGUGAUCUAGCCAUGGGCAGGUUGAAGGUUGGGUAACACUAACUGGAGGACCGAACCGACUAAUGUUGAAAAAUUAGCGGAUGACUUGUGGCUGGGGGGUGAAAGGCCAAUCAAACCGGGAGAUAGCUGGUUCUCCCCGAAAGCUAUUUAGGUAGCGCCUCGUGAAUUCAUCUCCGGGGGUAGAGCACUGUUUCGGCAAGGGGGUCAUCCCGACUUACCAACCCGAUGCAAACUGCGAAUACCGGAGAAUGUUAUCACGGGAGACACACGGCGGGUGCUAACGUCCGUCGUGAAGAGGGAAACAACCCAGACCGCCAGCUAAGGUCCCAAAGUCAUGGUUAAGUGGGAAACGAUGUGGGAAGGCCCAGACAGCCAGGAUGUUGGCUUAGAAGCAGCCAUCAUUUAAAGAAAGCGUAAUAGCUCACUGGUCGAGUCGGCCUGCGCGGAAGAUGUAACGGGGCUAAACCAUGCACCGAAGCUGCGGCAGCGACGCUUAUGCGUUGUUGGGUAGGGGAGCGUUCUGUAAGCCUGUGAAGGUGUGCUGUGAGGCAUGCUGGAGGUAUCAGAAGUGCGAAUGCUGACAUAAGUAACGAUAAAGCGGGUGAAAAGCCCGCUCGCCGGAAGACCAAGGGUUCCUGUCCAACGUUAAUCGGGGCAGGGUGAGUCGACCCCUAAGGCGAGGCCGAAAGGCGUAGUCGAUGGGAAACAGGUUAAUAUUCCUGUACUUGGUGUUACUGCGAAGGGGGGACGGAGAAGGCUAUGUUGGCCGGGCGACGGUUGUCCCGGUUUAAGCGUGUAGGCUGGUUUUCCAGGCAAAUCCGGAAAAUCAAGGCUGAGGCGUGAUGACGAGGCACUACGGUGCUGAAGCAACAAAUGCCCUGCUUCCAGGAAAAGCCUCUAAGCAUCAGGUAACAUCAAAUCGUACCCCAAACCGACACAGGUGGUCAGGUAGAGAAUACCAAGGCGCUUGAGAGAACUCGGGUGAAGGAACUAGGCAAAAUGGUGCCGUAACUUCGGGAGAAGGCACGCUGAUAUGUAGGUGAAGUCCCUCGCGGAUGGAGCUGAAAUCAGUCGAAGAUACCAGCUGGCUGCAACUGUUUAUUAAAAACACAGCACUGUGCAAACACGAAAGUGGACGUAUACGGUGUGACGCCUGCCCGGUGCCGGAAGGUUAAUUGAUGGGGUCAGCGCAAGCGAAGCUCUUGAUCGAAGCCCCGGUAAACGGCGGCCGUAACUAUAACGGUCCUAAGGUAGCGAAAUUCCUUGUCGGGUAAGUUCCGACCUGCACGAAUGGCGUAAUGAUGGCCAGGCUGUCUCCACCCGAGACUCAGUGAAAUUGAACUCGCUGUGAAGAUGCAGUGUACCCGCGGCAAGACGGAAAGACCCCGUGAACCUUUACUAUAGCUUGACACUGAACAUUGAGCCUUGAUGUGUAGGAUAGGUGGGAGGCUUAGAAGUGUGGACGCCAGUCUGCAUGGAGCCGACCUUGAAAUACCACCCUUUAAUGUUUGAUGUUCUAACGUUGACCCGUAAUCCGGGUUGCGGACAGUGUCUGGUGGGUAGUUUGACUGGGGCGGUCUCCUCCUAAAGAGUAACGGAGGAGCACGAAGGUUGGCUAAUCCUGGUCGGACAUCAGGAGGUUAGUGCAAUGGCAUAAGCCAGCUUGACUGCGAGCGUGACGGCGCGAGCAGGUGCGAAAGCAGGUCAUAGUGAUCCGGUGGUUCUGAAUGGAAGGGCCAUCGCUCAACGGAUAAAAGGUACUCCGGGGAUAACAGGCUGAUACCGCCCAAGAGUUCAUAUCGACGGCGGUGUUUGGCACCUCGAUGUCGGCUCAUCACAUCCUGGGGCUGAAGUAGGUCCCAAGGGUAUGGCUGUUCGCCAUUUAAAGUGGUACGCGAGCUGGGUUUAGAACGUCGUGAGACAGUUCGGUCCCUAUCUGCCGUGGGCGCUGGAGAACUGAGGGGGGCUGCUCCUAGUACGAGAGGACCGGAGUGGACGCAUCACUGGUGUUCGGGUUGUCAUGCCAAUGGCACUGCCCGGUAGCUAAAUGCGGAAGAGAUAAGUGCUGAAAGCAUCUAAGCACGAAACUUGCCCCGAGAUGAGUUCUCCCUGACUCCUUGAGAGUCCUGAAGGAACGUUGAAGACGACGACGUUGAUAGGCCGGGUGUGUAAGCGCAGCGAUGCGUUGAGCUAACCGGUACUAAUGAACCGUGAGGCUUAACCUUACAACGCCGAAGCUGUU
rnacentral:rRNA from 1 species